rnacentral:rRNA from 1 species
GGGAACUGAAACAUCUAAGUACCCGGAGGAAAAGAAAACAAUAGUGAUUCCGCAAGUAGUGGCGAGCGAACGCGGAACAGCCCAAACCGGUUUAGUUACGGCUAGACCGGGGUUGUAGGACUGCAACGUGGACUAUACAAACGAACUUGAAUGACUUGGGAAAGUCAGCCAUAGAGGGUGAAAGCCCCGUAAAGGUAAAGUUGUAUUACCUAGCAGUAUCCUGAGUAGGGCGGGACCGGAGAAAUCCCGUCUGAAUCUACCGGCACCAUCCGGUAAGGCUAAAUACUCCUGAGAGACCGAUAGUGAACCAGUACCGUG